UACGGGGGGGGCAAGCGUUGUUCGGAAUUACUGGGCGUAAAGGGCUCGUAGGCGGCCAACUAAGUCAGACGUGAAAUCCCUGGGCUCAACCCAGGAACUGCGUCCGAUACUGGUUGGCUUGAAUCCGGGAGAGGGAUGUGGAAUUCCAGGUGUAGCGGUGAAAUGCGUAGAUAUCUGGAGGAACACCGGUGGCGAAGGCGGCAUCCUGGACCGGCAUUGACGCUGAGGCGCGAAAGCUAGGGGAGCAAACGGG
rnacentral:rRNA from 1 species